rnacentral:rRNA from 1 species
ACCUUCGGGUCAUGAGUAGAGUGGCGGACGGGUGAGUAACGCGUAGGAACCUACCAAGCAGUGGGGAAUAACCUUUGGAAACGAAGGCUAAUACCGCAUACGCCCUUCGGGGGAAAGAUUUAUCGCUGUUUGAUGGUCCCGCGUCUGAUUAGCUAGUUGGUAAGGUAACGGCUUACCAAGGCGACGAUCAGUAGCUGGUCUGAGAGGAUGAACAGCCACACUGGGACUGAGACACGGCCCAG